GAAGGUCUGUAACUUUUCCAAGGCUACACAGCUGGGCUUCAAACCCAGGGUAUCCGACUGCCCCACACGUAGCCUUUCUUACAGAUAAUGAGUUCAGUUUAGUUUGAAGGACAUGAAAGAGGACAUGCGGAGGAGCGAGUUGAAUGUAACAGUCUGAACCUCCUAGGAGACGUGGGAGAUGGCAACCAAGCUUGAGACGCCAGAUGUAUCGGCAGAGAGGUGGGAUGGCAGCAACGAACAUGGACAUGGGAAGGAAGAGAGAGUAUGCAUGUGAGAAGAAGCCUGGGAGACACCCCUGGGGACUUGGAUGCCGCCAGCUUGCCCACCAGGGUGCUAGAAGCAACCACCUUGCCAGCAAGGAUCCACUGUCAUUUCUGCCAGUUCAAUGCCCUUGUGUGAGAUCUGGAAGGCAGAAGCCAAAUGAAGUCAUCCUUCCUCCAGCAGGAGCAGUACCCAAUGACAGACCACCACAGUAAUAUGAAGGCACACAUUGAUGUUCAAUUACACAGCUUGCGUCUUUCCCUCCUUGGGAAUUGGAAUCCGUUUCAGCUGACAGAUGAGUCAAGAAAAAAAUGGGAAUAAACAUGAAGAUGCAGAAGGAGCGUAGUGAAGAAAGCAGGCAAAAGAGAAAAAGAAGGAAUGAGAAGAAAGCAAAAAAUAGGAAUGAAUUCAAUCCAAGAGCCUCAUGAGAGGAGAUCACUCAGCCUGCUAGAAGGAGAGUCCUGUCUGGAAAUCACAGGAAUUAGGAGAAACCACAACUUUGCUCAACUCUCAGUGUAACAGAAAACAUGUUAGCACUUGGGAAAAGGCAGGUGAGUGAGAAAGAAAAGAAAAGCCCUUGCCACGAACUCCUUCCUUCCUGGUUGUCUGUCCAGGUCUGCCUGCCACCCACUUGCCAAUCUAGAGACCUCUCUCUCCACACCAUCCUCUCCAGAUCCUGGCCCACAUCCCGACCACUCUGCAAGAUGAUAGGUGUGAUCAACCUGCCACUCACUUGAACUUAGAGAGAAAAUGUGUUAAGGAAACAGGAAACAGAGGGGAACUAACGUGAAUAUCAAAUGUGUGGUAUAUACCCAGUAGGUUAGCAGGGCAAGCCUUCAGUGAAAGGUGAGAAAGCAGCAUUCAGCCACACAGCUGCACUUGGGAGUUGAGAGUUAGGCUUCAUUCGCUCACGUUUCAUUGUGGUGGUGAUAAAGGCUGCCAAGAAGCACCUUGAGCUUUAAAAACUGCCCAAGCAUGAUGGGAUGGAAUAGGAUGGGGUGGCAGGGAAUCUUAAGAUGGAGUGGGCAGAUGCUGCACAGAGCAAGCAGUCUUGCACUUGAGAACACCUUGUGUGUAAUUCACCAGGGUUAAGCAGAGCCCCUCUCAGAAUUUCACCUCCGUCCCUCCCUCAUGGUCAAGGUUUUAGGACAACCCUUCCAAUGAGAAUGGAAAUGGACACACCUUUUGCUUUUCCCCAGACACAGAAUUCAACCAUUAGUGCAAUGUGUGGGAGAAACAGACUUUCCAGGCUUUCUGUUUAAAUCUCUCCAAGGAAAGGGAUUUGCAACACCAGGCUGGGAUGAGUCCUUCAAAAUACUCAAGAAGUUUCAGCUCCAUUCUAAAGGCAAACAAGCACAAUCCCUUCAAAAACUGCCUUUGGGAAGGGCUGAAGAGUAGUCAGGAGGUUCUACCCUGACUUCAUCUGGCCAUCUGUGUAACGAAUAAUUAGUAUCUCUGUACUCAGGGCCAGCUCUGCCACACACCCCUCCCUCCACCUCUCCGUCCAGUUAAUCCUCACUAUGGUGCCCUUCAGAGCACUCCCAGGCCGGCUUCUGACACCUACGCCACCUUUGGGGAGGAGUAAUUUUUUAAAAAAGAAAAAAAAAUCCCACUCUUUUUUUCUCCUUCCUUAGGGUAGAAAGUCCAGAAUUAUUAGAUAAUGAUAACAGAAAACUGUAAAAGUAAAUUACCAACAGUUUCCCCCUGGAAGACCGAAAACAAAAUUACCUUAAGCCAAUGGAAUUAUUUAGCAUACAAAGGCAAGCUCUGAAAUAGCAAGCAUGGACUGGAGCUUUGCACAUUUCUAGGUAACUUUCUGUACCCGAAUAUGGAGCAGCCCACUUCUUACUAGAAAAUAUCCACUUUGAGAUGGAAGCUUGGGUGAGCCUUGUCAGGAAAUUCUCUGUCUCUUGGAAGCAAAGAAGUCCAUUACAGAAGAUUGGAGGACUUUUUUCUUUAAUUUACUUCAGAGGCAGGAUCGUGGUGUGUUGCCCAGGCUGAUUGCAAACUCCUAGGCUCAAGCGACCUUCCUGCCUCGGCCUCCCAAAGUGCUGGGAUUACAUGCAGGAGCCAUCAUGCCCAGCCAAGGCUGAAAGUCUAAAGAGAUGUCCCCAGAAAUUAUUUUUGAGGUCAUUCAUGUUCCAGGAACUCCAUCUUUGUGUGCAGCCUCCAGAAGCCACAGAAUGACCUGUCUGCCUGACUCUGGAAGGGCCCCAGGCUCCAGUGUCCUGGUACUAAUAAUGUCUUUCUGGUGUGCAUGCACACAUAAGCUCAUAACUACAUUUCUCUUGAACAAAACCAGGGAUAACAAAUCAUGAUUGUAAUUUUACAAGUGUCUUUAAAAAAUAUAUACUUCGUGUUUCAUAACAGUCUUAGAGCUACAGAAAAUUUCGCAGAGAAAUUCAUACAGUUCCCAUGUACCCUGACACCCAUAUUUUUUUGGGGGCAGGGGUGUGGCACAGACUCUCACUCUGUCGCCCAGGCUGGAGUGCAGUGGCACAAUCUCGGCUCAUCACAACCUCCGCCUCCUGGGUUCAAGAGAUUCUCCUGCCUCAGCCUCCCGAGUAGCUGGGACUGCAGGCACGCCACCACCAUGCCCGGCUAAUUUUUAUAUUUUUAAUAGAGACAGGGUUUCACUAUGUUGGCUAGGCUGGUCUCGAACUCCUGACCUUUUAAUCCACCCGCCUCAGCCUCCCAAAGUGCUGGGAUUACAGGCGUGAACCACUGCACCCAGCCCCUGAUACCCAUUUUCUUCUAUUAUUAACAUCUCACAUUAAGAUGGUACACUUGCCAGCAAUUAAUGAAACAGUAUUGAUAUGUUAUUAUCAACUGAGGUCCAUGCUUUGUUCAGAUUUCCUAAACUUGUACCGUAGCUUUCUGUUACAUAUUUUUUCCUUUCUGCGCACUGCAUUACAUUAAGAAUUCUUAUCUCCUUCAGCUCCCCUUGCCUGUGAUAGUUUUUCAGACUCUCCCAGAGCAUUGUGUUUGAUGACUUUGGCAGUUUUGAGGAAUACUGCUCAGGAAUCUUGUAGAGCAUUCCUUGACUGGGUUUGUCUGAUGAUUUUCUUAUGAUUGGAGUAGGUUAUGGGCUUUUGGGAGAAAGAGCAUAGAAGUGAAGCACUAUUCUGCGCAUAUCAUGCCAAGCUUCCACACCAUCGACGUGACCUCUGACUAUUGAUGCUGACCUUGAUCGCCUCGCUGAGGCACUGCUGGUCAGAUUGCUCCACUGUGAAGUUACUGUUUUCCCCUUUCUCCAUAGGGAAGUCACUAUGCACAGUGGACACUUAAGGAAUGGAGAGCUAUGCCCCACCUGCUUGAGGGCGAAGUUAUCUACAUAAAUUCAUAUCUGGAAUUCUUGUAUAUGAGAGAUCUGUUGACCAGUCCCAUUUAUUUAAUUACAUUAGUAUAGACUUGUGGAUAUUGUUUUGCAUUACAAUUCAAUGCUACUCUAUUUUAUGGCUCUAAUUGUUCUGGCUUUGGCCAUCAGGAACUCUUUCCAGUGGCUCCUGUGUCCCUUUGACAUAGUCCCGUCAAUCUGGGGGAGGGGAGAGAACACUUCCUUACUUUCUGGCACUACAGUUUGCCUCAGGCUCAUUUUGUAUAUUUUUCACCCAGUCCUAUUUCUCCAAGGAACUCUGGGUCGUUUUAGGUGAGAAUGGUGCUAGAAACCAAGCUCUGGGUGCUAGGUGUACUCCUUGCUACGAGGGUGUCUUUUUAUUGUUUCGUUGGUUGGUUGGUUUCUUUAGGCCCUGUCAGCUGACACAAAAAAGAAAUAUUUGUUCGUAUACUAACCUAUAUAUAUGCAUACACACACAUGUGCAUGCAAAUACAUAUAUAUACAAACACACAUACAUACACAGUUUUACAUAUGUAAAAUAUUUCUAUACAUAACCAUCUCUAUAUUAAGCUAAACAUGAGUUUUUACUGAUGGUUCCAACUAUAAUCUGUUACUACAUGGAUCAUUCUAGUUUCUUUCUCUUGAUUAUCUGUAAAUUCCCAUUCCAACAGUGUGAAAUCUGGCUCCUACCAUCCACUAUCCAUUUAUUUCAUGUUCAUUCCAGUAUAGGUAGAGCAACAAUCCGAAUUGUUAACUUGUAACACUGUGGGAAAGAAUGUUAACAGUUAGAGUCCAGUGCUUACGUGCAGUUCCUUUUGCCUUUAGUCUUCCAUAUGCUACUCAUUUCCAACAGCACUUAAGUCAGCACCUUUUCUCCCACCCUCUUCAGUGAGGUUGUUCCAUACAUUUUAACACAGUAAGGCUCUCUUAUUAUAUCUGCAUUCCUUCCUGAGAUCCCACAACCUUCUAAAUGACCUUUUCUCUUUUUACAUUGUAUAUAUUAAGUAAAGUUUUAUGGGUUUUGACAAAUGCAUAAUGUCAUGUAUCUGCCAUUAUAGUACCAUCCAGAAUAAUGUCACCACCCCAAAAAUCUCCUGUGCUUCAUGUGCUCAUUCCUCCCCACUAACUCCUGGCAACCCCUGAUCUCUAUGGCUUUGUCUUCUCUGGUUUGUCAUGUAGUUGGAAUCAUUCAAUCAGAUAUAAGGAAGUGAUGCCCGCUCUCAGCUCUUGAUCCUACCUACAUGCUUGCCAUGGUGCCUGACAUUUCCCUCUUAGAGAUUAAUUUUAUUUGGGAUUAUUUUUCUGUAUUAGAAUUUUGAUUUUUGUUUUUAAAUGUUUAAUAAAAUGGUUUUGGCUGGACAUAGUGGCUCAUGCCUAUAAUCCCAGUACUUUGGGAAGUUGAGGUAGGUGGAUCACUUGAGGUCAGGAAUUUGAGACCAGCCUGGCCAACACGGUAAAACCCUAUCUCUACUAAAAAAUACAGAAAAUCUGUAGUAGUUCAUGCCUGUUAUCCCAGCUACUCAGGAGGCUAAGGCAGGAGACCCAGGAGGUAGAGGUUGCAGUGAGCUGAGAUUGUGCCACUGCACUCCAGCCUGAGCAACACAGCAAGACUCCAUCUCAAAAAAAAA